UGGACAGAUACAACAUAGAAAUAUUGGCCUUAAAUGAAGUCAGAUGGCUAGACAGUGGAAAGCUUACACUUCAAAAUGGUAAAGUCUUAUUAUACUCAGGCAGAAAAGAUGGAUUACAUCAGGCAGGAGUUGGAAUGAUGCUGUCAAACCAAGCAAAAAAGGCACUGAUUGAAUGGAAGCCAAUCACUGAGAGAUUAAUGUAUGCCAGAUUUUACACAACAACCAUCAAAA
rnacentral:lncRNA from 1 species